rnacentral:tRNA from 4 species
GCCCAGGUGGCGAAAUGGUAGACGCGCAGGCUUCAGGUGCCUGUGGCCGCAAGGCUGUGGAAGUUCGAGUCUUCUCCUGGGCA